rnacentral:rRNA from 1 species
GUUACCUACGGGGGGCAGCAGUGGGGGAUAUUGCACAAUGGGGGGAACCCUGAUGCAGCGACGCCGCGUGGGCGAUGGAGUGCUUCGGCAUGUAAAGCCCUAUCAGCAGGGAAGAAAAUGACGGUACCUGACUAAGAAGCCCCGGCUAAAUACGUGCCAGCAGCCGCGGUAAUACGUAUGGGGCAAGCGUUAUCCGGAUUUACUGGGUGUAAAGGGAGCGUAGAGGGCAGCGCAAGUCUGGAGUGAAAUGCCGGGGCUCAACCCCGGAACUGCUUUGGAAACGGUGCAGCUAGAGUGCGGGAGAG